CCUACGGGUGGCAGCAGUGGGGGAUAUUGCACAAUGGGGGGAACCCUGAUGCAGCGACGCCGCGUGGGUGAAGGAGUGCUUCGGCAUGUAAAGCCCUAUCGGCAGGGAAGAAGCAAGACGGUACCUGACUAAGAAGCCCCGGCUAACUACGUGCCAGCAGCCGCGGUAAUACGUAGGGGGCGAGCAUUAUCCGGAUUCACUGGGUGUAAAGGGAGCGUAGACGGCCAUGCAAGCCAGGGGUGAAAGCCCGGGGCCCAACCCCGGGACUGCCCUUGGAACUGUGCGGCUAGAGUGCGGGAGGGGCAGGCGGAAUGCCUGGUGUAGCGGUGAAAUGCGUAGAUAGCAGGAGGAACACCGGCGGCGAAGGCGGCCUGCUGGACUGCGACUGACGUUGAGGCUCGAAAGCGUGGGGAGCGAACAGGAUUAAAGAACGCGGUAGUC
rnacentral:rRNA from 1 species